rnacentral:rRNA from 1 species
GGGAGGUAGUGACAAUAAAUAACAAUACAGGGCCUUUCAGGUCUUGUAAUUGGAAUGAGUACAAUUUAAAUCUCUUAACGAGGAACAAUUGGAGGGCAAGUCUGGUGCCAGCAGCCGCGGUAAUUCCAGCUCCAAUAGCGUAUAUUAAAGUUGUUGCAGUUAAAAAGCUCGUAGUUGAAUUUCGGGGUCAGCAGGUCGGUCGUGCCACUGGUAUGAACUGACCUCGCUGAUCCCUCCCUCUUGACGAACUGUGAUGCCAUUAAUUUGGUGUCGCAGGGAAUCAGGACUGUUACUUUGAAAAAAUUAGAGUGUUUAAAGCAGGCUAACGCUUGAAUACAUUAGCAUGGAAUAAUGAAAUAGGACGUUCGAUUCUAUUUUGUUGGUUUCUAGGAUUGACGUAAUGAUUAAUAGGGAUAGUUGGG